rnacentral:rRNA from 1 species
AUUGAACGCUGGCGGCAGGCUUAACACAUGCAAGUCGAGCGAGAGUCGGACGGGUGAGUAAUGUCUGUGAAACUGCCUGAUGGAGGGGGAUAACUACUGGAAACGGUAGCUAAUACAGCAUACCAUCGGAUGUGCCCCGAUGGGAUUAGCUAGUAGGGGGGGGAAUGGCUCACCUAGGCGACGAACCCUAGCUGGUCUGAGAGGAUGACCAGCCACACGGGAACUGAGACACUGUCCAGACUCCUACGGGAGGCAGCAGUGGGGAAUAUUGCACAAUGGGCGCAAGCCUGAUGCAGCCAUGCCGCGUGUGUGAAGAAGGCCUUCGGGUUGUAAAGCACUUUCAGCGAGGAGGCGUUACUCGCAGAAGAAGCACCGGCUAACUCCGUGCCAGCAGCCGCGGUAAUUC